GUGCUCAUUUUGGCAGCACGUAUUCUAAAACUGGAAAGUACAGAGAAGAUUAGGAUGGCCCCUGAGCAAAUAUGACACACAAAUUUGUGAUGUGUUUGUGAUGGAU
rnacentral:snRNA from 1 species